UCGAUCUCAAAUCAAGCAAGACUACCCCGCUGAACUU
rnacentral:rRNA from 1 species